GAGUUAGAAAAAUAAAAAUAGAAUUCGAAGUAAAGGAAGAAAUGCAAAAAGCAGAUAUAAUAUUAGGAAUAAAAUGGUUAGAACAAGUAAAACCAUAUAAUAUAGAACAUACACAAUUAACCUUAACAUAUAACAAAGAAAAGUUAUUCUUAAAAAGAGCCUUAACAUGUGAAAUGAAGAUAUGUAUUAAUGAAGAUAGUAGUAGAAGGAUAUUACAGUAGAUAUUAUACGCCUAUGAUAGAUACGGGAGCAGAAGCUAAU
rnacentral:lncRNA from 1 species